rnacentral:tRNA from 1 species
ACCUGGCUGGCUCAGUUGGUAGAAUGUGGGACUCUUAAUCCCACAGUUGUGAGUUCAAGCCUCCUGUUGGGUG